GCUUGUCUCAAGAUUAAGCCAUGCAUGUCUAAGUAUAACCUUUAUACGGUGAAACUGCAGACGGCUCAUUACAACAGUGAUAAACUAAAGAACUUCCGCGCUUCGGCGUCUUGGAUAACCGCAGUAAAUCGGGGCUAAUACAUAUAAACGAGAGGGUGAGCGGGCAACUGCGAACCUUUGCGAUUGUUAGCUAUCUUUUUCACCAACCUCUUCGGAGUUUGUGGUGAAUCCGAACAAUAUUGCUGAUCGAAAAUUUAUUUUCGACGAGUUCUUUGUGUCACUGCCCUAUCAACUUUCGAUGGUAAGGUAUUGGCUUACCAUGGUUGUAACGGGUGACGGGGAAUCAGGGUUCGAUUCCGGAGAGGGAGCCUGAGAAAUGGCUACCACUUCUACGGAAGGCAGCAGGCGCGCAAAUUACUCAAUCCCAAUACGGGGAAGUAGUGACAAAAAAUACUAAUGCCUUUCCAUAUUAUGGGGGGCAAUUGGAAUAAGUACAACUUAAAUCGCUUAGCAAAAGUGAUUGGAGGGCAAGUCUGGUGCCAGCAGCCGCGGUAAUUCCAGCUCCAAUAGCGUAUACUAAAUUUGUUGCAGUUAAAAAGCUCGUAGUUGAGAUUGAGAUUUCUUGGGUUUAAGCCAGUCAUAGUAGCUUUCGGGUUAUUAUGAUUUCGGUUAAAGCUUUUGAGUGAAUUUUAUUU
rnacentral:rRNA from 1 species